CUAAUCUCUAAGGUUGAAUCCUAAUAACCCUUUACGCCUCCUCUCUCACACUCAGUAACUCUCUCUCGUUCUAUCUUUCUCUCUUAGCUACUCUCGUUCAAUCCUUCUUUCCUUCUCUCUGUUUGUUGCAGGUGUGUAACAAGGUGAUGGGGGCCCGCGGCUUGGGUCGUAUGACAAGGAGGCUCGAUUCGUGGGUCUAUGGCGUGGCUCGCUCGUGGGUACGACGGUGCUUACGGCGGUGGGUCUACGACAUGACUCGACUGGUCCAUCUUCCAUCAGAUACGAUUUGGGGUUUGUAGAUUCAACUUGUUUCCGUGUCUAUGUGAAAGUCAGAUGUGAAGAGAUGGUGGAGACAACUGACUUAACAUUAAUGUAGUUGCAGGACUAAUGAGAAUAAUUGCUAGGAUACAUAUACUUGGGGCUCUAAACGGUGUGAAGAUGGACUUGGCAAAUGUUGUUUCCCCUUUGCUUAUAGGUAUAAGAAAUUUUUUACAUUCUUGUAUAUAUUAUGGAGCUCUAUUAUUUGAUCUUGAUUUAAGUUAUGUCCAAUUUGGUUGUUUUAUGUGCUUAAGGUUUUAUGUGAGAUUGUAUAUAUUUGAAGCUAUUGUGAUAAUACAUCCUUCUCUUGUAGCUUUUGUACUUUUGAUAGUAUUUUUUUAGUUUUAUAUUUUAUUGCCUAAGUUUAUUAUUGUAAAUUUAUUAUACAUUUGGAAGUUGUAUUGUAUUAUAAUCACGGCUCUGGUUUUGUGUCAAUUACUAUCGAUUGCCAUAACAUGCAUGAGAAAUUAAGUACUUUACAUUCAUUUUUACAUAUUAUAUGUUCGUACUUGAAUUUUUUAUGCACGUUAGUUACUCCCCGCAUAUUUGAAGCUUUUCAAUUCAUGUUCCUUGCAGAUUGUGAAUUUCAAACUUGACUGUAAUCCAACUGCAAGGAUUACAGUGUUCAUUUCUUAAUUUAAAAGUCCUAUGCUAGGAUCUAACUAUGUUUCUAGCAACAACAGUCUAUUGGUUUAAGGUCUAUAGGGAGCAGCUAGCGAAGAAUAACUCCAGCUUAGCUUAUCAUAUUGUUUUUCAUAGGUCUAAUGAGUAGAUAGGAAAAACACUCAUAUUUAUGCUAUAAUUUCUUACUGUAUUGUAUAUGCUCUAUUUUCACUUUACUGUUUUUCCUGAUUAUAUUGUAUCAUAUAUACUUGAUUGAUCUAUACUUCUGCUUUUUCAUUUUGAUGGUUUCUAGAGCUUAUUGACUAAUAACUCAUAGCUUCAAUUGUUUCGAUUUUGUUUUUCUUUUCUAUAAUAAAUUGUUGCUUAGACUUUGUGAGUCAGUUAGAGAGUGAGAUGGCUGAUGUGUUGUAAAUCAUUAAGUACUAUCUUUGCUUAGACUUGUCCCUCCUUAGUGACUAUCAUUGGUCUAUUUUGCCAUUUCUGUCCUGUCUUCUCUAUGGAGCCUAUUUUUUCUUAAGUUUUCUUAGUUCUGUUUCUGCUCUGAUGUUGUUCUAUUUGUUGUCAGCUUUAUUCUCUCUUAUGUUUUAUAGGGGUGUUGUUAUGGGAAGUUUAUGGUCUGUUACUUGUCAUUUUUUUGUAGUUUUCACCAUGUUUCCUUGU